UUGAAUUUUCAUUUAAAGCUUUCAGAUCUGGAACCAGAUUUCACACUAAGCCUGGAUUAUCUAAACCUAGCUUUGAACAACUCAACCCGAAAAAGGAUUUGGAAACCCCCCCUUACAGAAAUUCUUUGCAAUAAGGGAGCAUGAUCAGUUCAGUAUACAAAAGUGUAAGUAAGUGAGAGUAGAACAUGACCUGUCUGUGGAAAUUUGACUGAAGCAGUUAUACAAAAUGGGCAACGUUGGUUGAGCAAGGACAACUACUGUGGAACUGAAUGGCCAGAUUAAGAGAUGAUCAUAUUGUUCAAGAUACGGGCCAGACAAAAAUCACUCCAAAUUAAAACAAUCCAACCAGUCAAUAAAAUAAAUCUGAGUAGUUUAAGAUUGAUCACUAAUUGUGUUAUUGUACUAGUUUGAUGUUUCUUUCCAGUUUGUAUCUCCCUUACAAUGCCAUUUCGUAAAAUGAUUACUCUCUGAUAGACCUGUGUGGCAAGUGGUCGCUUAUUUCAGCAUAACAAGUUCCUUUUCCUUCAAAAUAUGUCAGGCUUUUGUUUGGUUGCAACUUACCUUUGACGUUGGAAGAGAAUGUAUAAUGAUAUUUAUGAAGACAUUUGAAAUGGCAAAAGCCACUUGCAAAAAACUCAGUGGGGAUUUAAUAUUGGAAAACUACUUCUGUAACAGCAAAAAAUAUCUUUCAUUUUCCAAAGAGCCCUAAGAACUGAUUGGCUUAGAGUGUAAGGGACAUCUGCAGUUUAUAUAAUAGAGGGUGUGUGUAUGUACAUACCAGUUUCCAAGGAGUCUGCAAAUAGACAGUCAUUGAUCUGAUUCAGGGAGUAAAUCUCUUCAGAAUUUGUUGUUACAUCCAUGUGGAAACUUUCAUCAUUGUCAGGACUGCUGUUGCCCUUGUUCAUAUUUUCUUCUUUUUUGUGUUGCACCUUACUGUCCCAUUCUUUAGUCCAUCUGCCUUGCUCUCAUUACCUAAGUGGUUAAGAAAAAGAAAUGUGUAGAGUUUUGCUAAUUUGUGUGAAACCAGGAAUGAAUAAUUGGAGCCAUCAUCAUAAUCAUUGUCGUCAUCAUUUGAAGUAUUAUUAAAAAAAUAAUUUUUAGAUUG